rnacentral:rRNA from 1 species
AACGUACGCUGGCGGCACGCCUAACACAUGCAAGUCGAACGCAGUAGCAAUACUGAGUGGCAAACGGGUGAGUAUAAUGUGGGAAUCUGCCUUUUGGUUUGGAAUAACACGAGGAAACUUGUGCUAAUACCGGAUAAGCCUUUACAGGGAAAGUUUUAACGCCGAAAGAUGAGCCCGCACUUGAUUAGCUAGUUGGUAAGGUAAUAGCUUACCAAGGCAACGAUCAAUAGCUGUUCUUAGAGGAAGACCAGCCACAUUGGGACUGAGACACGGCCCAAACUCCUACGGGAGGCAGCAGUGGGGAAUCUUGCACAAUGGGGGAAACCCUGAUGCAGCGAUGCCGCGUGAGUGAAGAAGGCCUUUGGGUUGUAAAACUCUUUCGUCGGGGAAGAAAAUGACUGUACCCGAAUAAGAAGGUCCGGCUAACUUCGUGCC